AGUGAACGCUGGCGGUAGGCCUAACACAUGCAAGUCGAACGGCAGCACAGUAAGAGCUUGCUCUUACGGGUGGCGAGUGGCGGACGGGUGAGGAAUACAUCGGAGUCUACUUUUUCGUGGGGGAUAACGUAGGGAAACUUACGCUAAUACCGCAUACGACCUACGGGUGAAAGCAGGGGAUCUUCGGACCUUGCGCGAUUGAAUGAGGCGAUGUCGGAUUAGCUAGUUGGUGGGGUAAAGGCCCACCAAGGCGACGAUCCGUAGCUGGUCUGAGAGGAUGAUCAGCCACACUGGAACUGAGACACGGUCCAGACUCCUACGGGAGGCAGCAGUGGGGAAUAUUGGACAAUGGGCGCAAGCCUGAUCCAGCCAUGCCGCGUGGGUGAAGAAGGCCUUCGGGUUGUAAAGCACUUUUGUUGGGAAAGAAAAGCAGCAGGUUAAUACCCCGCUGUUCUGACGGUACCCAAAGAAUAAGCACCGGCUAACUUCGUG
rnacentral:rRNA from 1 species